CACGAAUAACAUGACUCUAGACAGAAAUCUUCCGGUCCAAACAAUCACGGACCUCCUCCAUCCCACCAUAUGCGCGUAGUCCUCCUGCUCAUCCGUCUCCCUAUUCGGAUCGUGAAAUAACGUACAAACUCUGCAAAUCGUGUAAUAGAGAACCAGCAAACUCGUCCCAACAACCACCCGUAUAGGGACGAUUGUAACGAGUGCCAUUGCGAGCAG
rnacentral:misc_RNA from 1 species